CUUACCAUGCNAGUCGAACGGUAACAUAAAGAAGCUUGCUUCUUUGAUGACGAGUGGCGGACGGGUGAGUAAUGCUUGGGAAUCUAGCUUAUGGAGGGGGAUAACUACGGGAAACUGUAGCUAAUACCGCGUAAUAUCGAAAGAUUAAAGUGUGGGACCUUCGGGCCACAUGCCAUAGGAUGAGCCCAAGUGGGAUUAGGUAGUUGGUGAGGUAAAGGCUCACCAAGCCGACGAUCUCUAGCUGGUCUGAGAGGAUGACCAGCCACACUGGGACUGAGACACGGCCCAGACUCCUACGGGAGGCAGCAGUGGGGAAUAUUGCGCAAUGGGGGCAACCCUGACGCAGCCAUGCCGCGUGAAUGAAGAAGGCCUUCGGGUUGUAAAGUUCUUUCGGUAGCGAGGAAGGCAUUUAGUUUAAUAGACUAGGUGAUUGACGUUAACUACAGAAGAAGCACCGGCUAACUCCGUGCCAGCAGCCGCGGUAAU
rnacentral:rRNA from 1 species